rnacentral:miRNA from 1 species
GGCCCCGUGCAGUGGCCCCGGCCACGGUGGUGGCGGCGGCGGUGGCGGCGGCAGCAGC